GUAGGUGAACCUGCUGCUGAUCAUUA
rnacentral:rRNA from 1 species